rnacentral:lncRNA from 1 species
CCAAUGUUCAGGGCCUCCAGAAAUAUCAAUGUCCAGAGUAACCAAUGUCUUCAAAAUCCAAGGCUUGCAAUGUCUCCAAUAUCCUGUGCUUACAAUGUUUCCAAUGUCCAGGGUUUCCGAUGGCACCUGUGUCAAGGUCUUCCAACAACUCCGGGUCUUCCAGCGACUUCAAGUCUUCCAAUAAUCUCAAGGUCUUCCAGAUAAUCCUGAGCUUCCAGAAAAUCCACGUCUUCCAGAAAAUCCAUGUCUUCCAGAAAAUCCAUGUCUUCCAGUAACCUCCCAGUCUUCCAGAAAAUCCACGUCUUCCCAACAAUCCAAGUCUUCCGGAUAAUUUGGGUCUUCCUGAAAAUCUACGUCUUCCAAAAAAGCCAUGUCUUCCAGAAAAUCCACAUCUUCCAAUGGCCUCCAGGUCUUCCAGACUAUCCAUGUCUUCCAGAAAAUCCUUGUCUUCCCUUAAAUCUAUAGCUUCCAAAAAAUCCGGGUCUUCCAGGAAAUCCGUGUCUUCCAGCAAGUCCACGUCUUCCAACAAAGCCAUGUCUUCCAGACUAUCCAUGUCUUCCAGAAAAUCCUUGUCUUCCCUCAAAUCCAUAGCUUCCGAAAAAUCCAGGUCUUCCAGGAAAUCCGUGUCUUCCAGCAAAUCCACGUCUUCCAACAAAGCCAUGUCUUCCAUCAAAUUAAUGUCUUCCAGCCUACUUGUGUCUUCCAACAAAGGUCUUCCAGCAUCUCCAGGGCUUCCAGCAUCUGCUCGUCUUCCAACAUCUCCACGUCUUCCAGCAUCUCUGUGUCUUCCAGCAUCUUCAUGUCUUCCAACAACUACCCAGUCUUCCAUCAACUGGCUCAAUAUCCAUGUCUUCCAACGUCUCCAGUGUGCUGAUCUUCUGACAUUCAGGUCUUCCAGUGUCUGCAAUAUCCAGGUAUUCUAA